rnacentral:tRNA from 1 species
GCUCCAUUAGCAUAGUGGUGAGUGCAUCCGGCUUUCUACCGGAAGACAAGGGUUCGAUUCCCUUAUGGAGUACAA